rnacentral:rRNA from 1 species
UACGUAGGGUGCGAGCGUUGUCCGGAAUUAUUGGGCGUAAAGGGCUCGUAGGCGGUUUGUCGCGUCGGGAGUGAAAAUUCAGGGCUUAACUCUGGACUGGCUUCCGAUACGGGCAGACUAGAGGUAUGCAGGGGAGAACGGAAUUCCUGGUGUAGCGGUGAAAUGCGCAGAUAUCAGGAGGAACACCGGUGGCGAAGGCGGUUCUCUGGGCAUUACCUGACGCUGAGGAGCGAAAGUGUGGGGAGCGAACAGG